AGCACCUUCUCAUUGCCUUCAAAGAUGACUUAAUCUUACAGGAUCAGGCCCACAUAUUGCAAGCAGUAGAACAGAAACUCCCUCUGUCCUUCUUAUGGCAGUAUCCCCGGGGAGCAAUUCAGUCUGAGAGGAAAAGGAACAUGUACAGAGUAGCUAUGGGACAAUCUAAUCAGCAUGAUCAGAAGUGAUCAACGCACACCAGCUGUCUAAGGAACUGGGGAUCAGACCUAUAAGCCAAUACAGUCACAGGUCAAGAAUUGUCUGGAAAUACAGUAAAUAAAAGAUUAUCGUAUGACUGUGAAGAAAGUUAACUUGCACUUCAGAGCCAGAUGGUGUAGACUUGAAUGCUAAGAAGAUAAGUAUUUAGAAACUAAUUAGAGUAGCCAGCAUGAUAGCGUAUUUACUUACACUUGCUUGGUUUCUCCUUUGUUCUCCUUGAAGUAUUUAUUCCCAAAUAUUGCCACCACCAU